rnacentral:rRNA from 1 species
CGUGUAGGCGGCAAGAUAAGUCGAGUGUGAAAGCCCUGGGCUCAACCCAGGAAGUGCGCUCGAAACUGCCUAGCUCGAGUACGGGAGAGGGUAGCGGAAUUCCCGGUGUAGAGGUGAAAUUCGUAGAUAUCGGGAGGAACACCAGUGGCGAAGGCGGCUACCUGGACCGAUACUGACGCUGAGACGCGAAAGCGUGGGUAGCAAACA